UCGGGAAUAUUGCGCAAUGGAGGAAACUCUGACGCAGUGACGCCGCGUGCAGGAAGAAGGUUUUCGGAUUGUAAACUGCUUUAGAUAGGGAAGAAAAAAAUGACAGUACCUAUAGAAUAAGCUCCGGCUAACUACGUGCC
rnacentral:rRNA from 1 species